GUGAGGAAUAUUGGACAAUGGAUGGAAAUCUGAUCCAGCCAUGCCGCGUGCAGGAAGACGGCCCUAUGGGUUGUAAACUGCUUUUAUACGGGAGCAAUAAGGUCUAUGCAUAGAUUGAUGAGAGUACCGUAUGAAUAAGCAUCGGCUAACUCCGUGCCAGCAGCCGCGGUAAUUCGGAGGAUGCGAGCGUUAGCCGGAUGUAUUGGGUUUAAAGGGUGCGUAGGCGGCUUUGUAAGUCAGCGGUGAAAUUUUGCAGCUUAACUGUAAAAGCGCCGUUGAUACUGUGAAGCUAGGAUUUGGUUGCUGUGGGCGGAAUGUGUGGUGUAGCGGUGAAAUGCAUAGAGAUCACACAGAAUAUCGAUUGCGAAGGCAGCUCACAAAGCCAAUAUUGACGCUGAGGCACGAAAGUGUGGGGAUCAAACAGGAUUAGAAACCCGGGUAGUCC
rnacentral:rRNA from 1 species